rnacentral:lncRNA from 1 species
AUUAUUGUCAUUUUGUUUAUUUUCUUUGGUUACAUCUUCUGACAUCAGACUCGGACUUCUCUUGAACUGAAUUUUAAUGUGCGUAUUGUUAUGCGUUUACUUUUCUACAUUGGCUAGAGGUAUAGGGGGAGGGUUGAGAUCUCACAAACAUGUUUAACCCCGCCGCAUUUUUGCGCCUGUCCCAAGUCAGGAGCCUCUGGCCUUUGUUAGUCUUGUAUUAUUUUAAUUUUAGUUUCUUGUGGACAAUUUGGAAAUUAGUAUGGCGUUCAUUAUCACUGAACUAGUAUAUAUUUGUUUAGGGCCAGUUGAAGGACGCCUCCGGGUGCGGGAAUUUCUCGCUACAUUGAAGACCUGUUGGUGACCUUCUGCUGUUGUUUUUUUUUCUAUGGUCGGGUUGUUGUCUCUUUGGCACAUUCCCCAUUUCCAUUCUCAAUUUUAUUUUAUAAUCUACCCUAUGCUCUGUUAACUGUUUAUUUUAGACUUUUGAUAGUUUGGAUAAAUGUUUAACAUUGUUAUAAUUCAAAUAUGAGAAUAGAGUCAAAUCGGUGACCAUGAAUUUGACAGCUAGUGCCCCUUUAAUGUUUAU